CGCACAUUGCACUCCUUGGUAUUCCGGGGAGUAUGCCUGUUCGAGCGUCAUUACACCCUUCAAGCUUUGCUUGGUAUUGGAACUCAUCAUUAGAUGUUUCCGAAAAAGAGUGGCAGUUCGUAAACUUCAAACGUGGUGAAAAUUUUACGUUAUGAUAGUUGUUCGAACUCGCCAGAAACCUAUUUCAAUAAUUUGACCUCGGAUCAGGUAGGGAUACCCGCUGAACUUAA
rnacentral:misc_RNA from 1 species